UACGUAGGGUGCGAGCGUUGUCCGGAAUUAUUGGGCGUAAAGAGCUCGUAGGCGGUGUGUCGCGUCGGCCGUGAAAACCUGCAGCUUAACUGUGGGCUUGCGGUCGAUACGGGCAUCACUGGAGUUCGGCAGGGGAGACUGGAAUUCCUGGUGUAGCGGUGAAAUGCGCAGAUAUCAGGAGGAACACCGGUGGCGAAGGCAGAUCUCUGGGCCGUAACUGACGCUGAGGAGCGAAAGCAUGGGUAGCGAACAGG
rnacentral:rRNA from 1 species